UGACAUUGGCUGUGCCUGAAGUGAACUA
rnacentral:sRNA from 1 species